UACGUAGGGUGCAAGCGUUAAUCGGAAUUAUUGGGCGUAAAGGGCGCGUAGGCGGCUAGAUGUGUCAAAGGUGAAAUCCCUCGGCUCAACUGAGGAACUGCCUUUGAAACUGUCUGGCUUGAGGCCGGGAGAGGGUAGCGGAAUUCCCAGUGUAGCGGUGAAAUGCGUAGAUAUUGGGAAGAACACCGGUGGCGAAGGCGGCGACCUGGUCCGUGACUGACGCUGAGGCGCGAAAGCGUGGGGAGCAAACAGG
rnacentral:rRNA from 1 species